GAUGAACGCUGGCGGCGUGCCUAAUACAUGCAAGUCGAGCGAACGGACGAGAAGCUUGCUUCCAUGAGGUUAGCGGCGGACGGGUGAGUAACACGUGGAUAACCUACCUAUAAGACUGGGAUAACAUCGGGAAACCGGAGCUAAUACCGGAUAAUAUUUUGAACCGCAUGGUUCAAAAGUGAAAGACGGUCUUGCGUUCACUUAUAGAUGGAUCCGCGCUGCAUUAGCUAGUUGGUAAGGUAACGGCUUACCAAGGCAACUAUGCAUAACCGCCCCGAGAGGGUCGUCCCCCACCCUGUAAGUGAGACACGGUCCCGACUCCUACGGGAGGCAGCCGUCGGGACUCUUCCGCGAUGGGCGAGAGCCUGACGGUGCACCGCCGCGUGAGUGAUGAAGGUCUUCGGAUCCUAAAACUCUGUUAUCAGGGAAGAACAUAUGUGUAAGUACCUGUGCACAUCUUGACGGUACCUAAUCAGAAAGCCACGGCUAACUCCGUG
rnacentral:rRNA from 1 species